AUGGAGGCGACGGCGGUUAGCGUGGGCAAGGCCGUUCUCGACGGCGCGCUCGGCUACGCCAAGUCCAAGGCAGCCGAGGAAAUCGCCCUGCAGCUUGGCGUCGAGCGUGAUGUGGACUUCAUCAAGGACGAGCUGCAGAUGAUGCAGUCGUUUCUGAUGACGGCCGAUGAGGAGCAAAGCCAGAACAAGGUGCUCACCACAUGGGUGAAACAGGUGGGGAUACUGGCCUACAAAGUGGAGGAUAGCCUCAUGGAUUUUGGCCUUCACUCUGAGAAAAAACCAUUCUUAGGGUGCAUUCCCCGCAAUCCAAUGGAUCGACGCCGCAUCGCCAAGGAGGUGAAGGAGCUUAGGGCCAAGGUGGAGGACGUGAGCAACAGGAACCUGCGCUAUCGCCUCAUCAAGGAGAGCUCAGGCUCCAAGCCUACAGCGGCAGAGGAGCAGGCCAAAAUUGCCACUGAAGCAAUGUUUGGCAUGAACCAAGCAAGGCUUACUGCCUUGGACCGUGGAAAAUCAUCAGAGGUGAACCUCCAACAGCUGAUUACCAGCAACGAUGUGGACCUUAGGGUGAUCGCCGUGUGGGGCUGUAGUGGUGAUCUUGGGAAGACGUCUGCCAUCCAGGAGGUUUAUGAUGACCCGAAGGUAUUGGAAACGUUUGGAUUCUGUGCUUGGAUUAGGUUGAUGCAUCCUUUCAAUCCACAAGAGUUUCUCAGAAGCUUGGUAAGACAAUUUUAUGAAAAUUCACAUGAUGAUGCUGGAAAGGCGGAACAAGAAACAAGUGUCGGGGCUAAUGUUCUGGCCAAGAUGGAGAAGAUGGAUCAAAGUGAUUUAGUUCGGCUGUUUAAUGCGCAGCUGUGUAGCAAUAGCUACCUUGUUGUCAUUACCGACCUGUCCACAAUAGAAGAGUGGCAUUGCAUUAAGAAGUACUUUCCUGACAACAAGAGACAAAGUAGAAUCAUCGUUUCCACUCAGCAAGAUGAAAUUGCAUGCUUGUGCACAGAGAAACCGUAUCAGAUGUCCAAGUUCAGGCAGUUGUCAUAUGAUCAAAUUAUUUAUUUGUUCCACAAGAAGACUUCACCGGAACAGAUCAGUUUAAUAGACAACACCGAUAAAGCAAUGGUUGCUGCUGUGGAGAAGGAGAAACUGAAGGUUAUUCAUGCAUCAUGUUCUGCUGCUGAGCCCAUUUCUGACUCAAACAAAGUUACUACUAGUGAGAAACACACAGCAGUGCCCGCCGGUGAAAUACUGGAGGAAGAUCAAAAACCUAACAAUGCAGAUGGCGACAAAAUUUGCAACUCAACUGCUAGAAAGAAGUUCGAUCGCAGCAGGACACUGGCACUGGCUGAUGAAGUGCUAUGUGGGCGAGAAACUGAGAAAACUAAUGUCAUCAAUUUAGUUGGCCAACCAGAAAAGAAUCGAGGCUGUAAGGUGGUUUCUGUUUGGGGAAUGGGUGGUCUUGGAAAAACCACCCUCGUCCGGAGCAUCUACCGAAGCCAAGAGCUUGGUGUCUUGAAGCGUGCUUGGGCCACUGCAUUGCGUCCUUUUAACCCUGAGGUACUCCUUAGAGAUUUGGCUCUGCAGCUUCAGAAUACUAUUCAAGAAGAGCCUGCUAGUGCAACGGCAAUUGAAGCACGAAAGAAAAUGUUAGCCGGGAUGAAACUUGAAGAUUUGGAGGAGCAGGUAGCUGAUGUACUAAAAAUAGAAGAGUGCCUUGUUGUUCUUGAUGAUGUAUCGACCACUUUUGAAUGGGACUUGGUCAAACAUUGUUUGGGCAAUGCUAGAAGGAUCAUAGUCACCACAAGAAAAAAAGAUAUUGCCAAACAUUGUUCAAUAGAGGACAAGUACAUCUGCCAUCUUGAUGGUCUGAAAGAUGAUGCUGCACUUGACCUCUUCAUGAAGAAGGUAUUCAAGGACAAUUUUGAAGUAAAUUAUUUAGCCCCAGCUAUGAUGGAGCAAGCAAAGCUUAUCCUGCAGAAAUGUGCUGGACUGCCCCUUGCAAUAUCGACUAUCGGUGGAUUCCUUGCCACUAAGCCAAAAACUGCUAAUGAAUGGAGGAAGAUGAGUGAUGGCAUUAGCAUUGAAUUGGAGAUGAAUCCUGAACUUAGGACAAUAAGGACAGUUCUUAUGAGGAGCUACUAUGGUUUGCCAUACCAUCUCAAGUCUGCUUUCUUAUACCUAUCCAUAUUUCAAGAAGAUCAGAGAAUUAGGUGGGGUCGCUUGAUGAGGCGGUGGAUUGCAGAGGGUUACUCAAGGGAUAUGCAGGGCAUAACUGCAGCUGGACUCUGUCGGAGGUACUUUGAUGAGCUCUUGGAUAGGAGUAUGAUCCUGCCAGGGGAAGGGACAGACCAAUACAGUCAGAAAAUCAGUUCUUGCCUACUCCAUGAUAUGAUCCGUGAAAUAUGCAUCUCAAAGGCUAGGGAGGAAAACCUUUUUUUGACGCUGGAGGAAGGAUGUUGUUUGAGUGACACGCAGGGUGCAAUACGUCAUCUUGUCAUUGGCAGCAACUGGAAAAGGGAUAAAGAUGUGUUGGAGAGCAAGCUAGACUUGUCACACGUACGGUCAUUGACCGUGUUUGGAGAGUGGAGAUCGUUUUUCAUUUCCGACAAUAUGAGGUUUGUGCGAGUGCUCGACUUAGAAGACACACUGGGGUUUAGAAAUCAUCAUCUUGAUCAAAUCGGGCAGCUCCGUCACCUCAAGUACCUUUCUCUUCGAGGAUGUUGGAGCAUUUUAUGUCUGCCUAAUUCUUUCCGGAAUUUGAGGCACCUCGAAACACUGGAUGUUAGAGGUACACGCAUAUCUGAGUUGCCAACAAUAAUCACUGAGCUUCGGAAGCUACAACACCUUCAUGCAGAUGAUUAUGGGGAUCGUAUUGGUGUUAGGGGAGAGGAUGACAUAGUUCAUAAGUAUCACAAGUUUAGAGGUCAUCUUUUCUUGAGACCACAAGUUUUAGAUGCUGGUUUGAACAGGAAUGAUAUAUUCAAUCUAUACCGCUUCCAGCAGGAGGAGAACCUAUAUGGCAUUAUUCUUCCUAAAGGGAUUGGUAAAUUGAAGACCCUUCAUGCACUAGGUGCUGUUGAUGUUUCUUGGAGAAAUGGAAAUGCCAUUGUAAAAGAGUUCCGAGAGCUUACUGAGCUACGUAACCUUAAAGUGGGUGGUGUGAGCUGCAGAAACAUCAAUGAGUUAUGGUCUGCCAUUGCUGGCUAUAGUCAACUUAAAUCUCUGUCAGUUCAAAUAGGUGGCCCGGACAAGAGGAAUGCGUUAGAUGGCUGUUUGGGUGAGGGUUUGUUACCAUCAAACAGCCUUGAGAGCCUCCAUCUGUGGGGUAAGCUUGUCAAUGUAACAAAGUGGAUCAAUACGCUUCAGAAUCUCACCAAGUUGGUGCUAAGGCGGAGCAGAUUGGAGCAAGAUGACGCCAUACAAGCCCUUGGAUUUCUACCGAAUCUUGUAGUUCUACGACUGAGGAUGGAUUCGUUCGAUGGGACACAGCUCCAUGUCAAGAGCUCAUCUUUCCCGAGUCUCAUAGUGCUGGAGUUGCAAUGGUUAGACAACCUCCAGUCGGCGCUGUUUGAAAAAGACGCAAUGCCUAAGCUCGAGUUGCUACAAAUUGGUCAGUGCAAAAAUCUGAAUGGAUUCUCCGGGCUGCCAGCCCUCGGAAGCCUCAAGGAGAUUCGGUUGGGUAGUUAUGAUCUCAGUGAAACAUUGAAGGUAUCGGUGCAGAGUCGGGUAGCGGAGCAUAUAAAUCACGUCAGAGUGAAUAUUGUUUGA
rnacentral:rRNA from 1 species